rnacentral:rRNA from 1 species
GACGAACGCUGGCGGCGUGCCUAAUACAUGCAAGUUGAGCGCUGAAGGUUGGUACUUGUACCAACUGGAUGAGCAGCGAACGGGUGAGUAACGCGUGGGGAAUCUGCCUUUGAGCGGGGGACAACAUUUGGAAACGAAUGCUAAUACCGCAUAAAAACUUUAAACACAAGUUUUAAGUUUGAAAGAUGCAAUUGCAUCACUCAAAGAUGAUCCCGCGUUGUAUUAGCUAGUUGGUGAGGUAAAGGCUCACCAAGGCGAUGAUACAUAGCCGUCCUGAGAGGGUGAUCGGCCACAUUGGGACUGAGACACGGCCCAAACUCCUACGGGAGGCAGCAGUAGGGAAUCUUCGGCAAUGGACGAAAGUCUGACCGAGCAACGCCGCGUGAGUGAAGAAGGUUUUCGGAUCGUAAAACUCUGUUGGUAGAGAAGAACGUUGGUGAGAGUGGAAAGCUCAUCAAGUGACGGUAACUACCCAGAAAGGGACGGCUAACUACGUG